UGGGGAAUAUUGCAUAAUGGGCGCAAGCCUGAUGCAGCCAUGCCGCGUGUAUGAAGAAGGCCUUCGGGUUGUAAAGUACUUUCAGUCGGGAGGAAGGUGGUAAGGUUAAUAACCUUAUCAAUUGACGUUACCGACAGAAGAAGCACCGGCUAACUCCGUGCCAGCAGCCGCGGUAAUACGGAGGGUGCAAGCGUUAAUCGGAAUUACUGGGCGUAAAGCGCACGCAGGCGGUUGAUUGAGUCAGAUGUGAAAUCCCCGGGCUUAACCCGGGAAUUGCAUCUGAUACUGGUCAGCUAGAGUCUUGUAGAGGGGGGUAGAAUUCCAUGUGUAGCGGUGAAAUGCGUAGAGAUGUGGAGGAAUACCGGUGGCGAAGGCGGCCCCCUGGACAAAGACUGACGCUCAGGUGCGAAAGCGUGGGGAGCAAACAGG
rnacentral:rRNA from 1 species